AUUCUGGUUAGACUUUUUUUAUUCCUGUGAAUGCUGCAGACAUGGGGAAAUGUAUGGAGUAGCUAUAGCUCCCUGUGGAUUUACUCCAGUUCUCUUCAAAGGUAGAAUGUGGUGGAGCCAGCCACUUGAGUUCCUCAGGUGCUCCUUUUCCUGUUGUCACUUCCCUUGCUGAUCUUGCCUGGACACCUCAAGACAAUCCAAGGACAAGCUGCUGUCUGAGAUACCUGCAUUAUAAAGGAGUGAUUAUAAUAAUAAAACAACAAAUAAGCUUGUUGUUGUGAACCAUACCUACAUGGAGGAUAUUAUUUAGAUCAAGAAUGGAUUAGAUAAUUAAACUCCAUGUAAUUAACUGAAUGAGAAUGUCUCCAUGAAAUACAAGGGUGGGAUGACCUCUAUAUUUGAACAACUUGACAAACAUCUGAGUCAAUUUCCUCGAACUGCCUCAAACUUGGAAUAAAUAGAAAAAGAGCCAAGUUGAUUUAAUGCAUAGCUAUGGAUCAGUAGUCAGAAAUGGAAGGAGAAAUGUGGAACAGUUCUGUCAAAACCCUUGAUCAUGCAAAACAGAGUCUUCACAGGUGAAAUCCACACUCACAUUUGCCCUCUGAUGGGUUACUUUACUGGCCUUGAGUGCUCUGGUGAGGAAUUUUGGGAAAAAGGGCAUCCUGUGAUGAAUUGUCCCAUACAGUAUGUAAAAUAAUACCAGUUAGUGGAGUCUCCACAGAGCAGAUAUCUUCUAGAUACUCCUUAUCAAACUAGUGAAUGCUGAGGAAAAUGGGAAGCUUGCAUGGGGAGAGGCAAGUCUCUGCUGCUUUUUUGCCAAAGCCAAGCAGAAUGUUCAUUGGAAUGUUCAAGGCUGAAAUAAAGACAUUGGUGGAAAAGUCAACAACGACAUACAGGAAUGACUGACCUUCCAAGCAGAUGGAUAACACGUCUCUCAUGGAGCUGCACAAGACGCACUCAGCCUUUCUUUACCAGGUGACAAAGAGUGUGCCCACCACGGAGCUGCAGCCACCCCCUACACCAGGACUGUCAGGCAGACUCCAAAUUCUGUUUCAGUGUACGCACUUUCUGAGCUCUGUGGGUGGAUGAGCACUUAAGGUGAGUCUACCCAGAUUGCUGCAGCUGUGUUAGACAGAAGUCAGGACAUGUGAUUUGGGGACAGGGGCUAAUGAACCCUUGGGGAAGUCAGCGAUUGCUAGAGCAGUUGGAAUUACUUAUGCCCUGUUUUUUGACUAUGUCUCAGGUGUCCCUGAGGGCUAAGUCAAACAGUGUAUUAAAUAAUUAUACAGAACGGAUCAAAUAGAAAGGCCAUUGUAGGGAAACAUCCUUG